rnacentral:rRNA from 1 species
GAUGAACGCUGGCGGCGUGCCUAAUACAUGCAAGUCGAGCGAACAGACGAGGAGCUUGCUCCUCUGACGUUAGCGGCGGACGGGUGAGUAACACGUGGAUAACCUACCUAUAAGACUGGGAUAACUUCGGGAAACCGGAGCUAAUACCGGAUAAUAUAUUGAACCGCAUGGUUCAAUAGUGAAAGACGGUUUUGCUGUCACUUAUAGAUGGAUCUGCGCCGCAUUAGCUAGUUGGUAAGGUAACGGCUUACCAAGGCAACGAUGCGUAGCCGACCUGAGAGGGUGAUCGGCCACGCUGGAACUGAGACACGGUCCAGACUCCUACGGGAGGCAGCAGUAGGGAAUCUUCCGCAAUGGGCGAAAGCCUGACGGAGCAACGCCGCGUGAGUGAUGAAGGUCUUCGGAUCGUAAAACUCUGUUAUUAGGGAAGAACAAAUGUGUAAGUAACUAUGCACGUCUUGACGGUACCUAAUCAGAAAGCCACGGCUAACUACGUG